UACGGAGGGGGCUAGCGUUGUUCGGAAUUACUGGGCGUAAAGCGCACGUAGGCGGACUGUUAAGUCGGGGGUGAAAUCCCCGGGCUCAACCUGGGAACUGCAUCCGAGACUGCUUUGCUCGAGUAUGGGAGAGGGAAGUGGAAUUUCCGGUGUAGCGGUGAAAUGCGUAGAUAUCGGAAGGAACAUCAGUGGCGAAGGCGACUUCCUGGACCAAUACUGACGCUCAGGUGCGAAAGCGUGGGGAGCAAACAGG
rnacentral:rRNA from 1 species